rnacentral:rRNA from 1 species
UACGUAGGGUGCAAGCGUUGUCCGGAAUUAUUGGGCGUAAAGAGCUCGUAGGCGGUCUGUCGCGUCUGGUGUGAAAAUCCAGGGCAUAACCCUGGACCUGCAUCGGGUACGGGCAGACUAGAGUGCGGUAGGGGAGAUCGGAAUUCCCGGUGUAGCGGUGAAAUGCGCAGAUAUCAGGAGGAACACCGGUGGCGAAGGCGGAUCUCUGGGCCGUAACUGACGCUGAGGAGCGAAAGCAUGGGGAGCGAACAGG